AGCAGUGGCCGAAAAUCAAACAACAACAGCAUCGUGUUUGUAAACACGACGACGGUAAAAAAUGGUUGACAAUUCCAGAAUUUACAAUUUUUUAUUAAAUUUUGAGUUUUUUACCCUACAAAUUCUCGCUUAAAUGCGGUAACUGCAAAGGACGAUGUUGUCGACGAUGUUUUUCGACGCUGGAUACGAUGACCGGCCACUCAAUCGCAUAUUUCAGGAUGACUCAUCUCACUACUCAUUGCUGCUGGUAUUUUAUCAAUGGUGAUAAUUUCCAUAGUUCAAUUUGGAACCGAAGACUUUUCUCAAUUUAUUUGGUAAGUUCACU